AAGCAAAAGGGUUAAACGUGCACGCGAUUCAAAUAGCUGAAAAGACGUGUCUCCUUGGAGCUCCCGUCGUCCACAUCUCUAUUCCCCACCCCCUUCCACCUCGCCAACAAACUCUCCGCCCACGUACCCCAGCUUAGAUUCUACUGGAGUUGGUCGAUCGUGGUGGGGGAUGAGAUGGUAACAGGAUUCGUCGAGCUACUCCACCUUCAUGACUCGCAGACGGAAGGCAUAGCAAAUCCAGAGUCUUCUUGUGGUAUCGACAUGCUGGCAUCAAUCGCCGCCGAUCUGGAUUUGGAGCCAAUCUCCAGACUUCCCCCUUUUCUUCCAGAUCCGAAGUUGUGGAUGGUAGCACAUCCGAUCCGAUUUGGGGUGACGCGCAAGCAGCCGAUGUACCCAAGUCCGGACAUGGCGAGACGAAUCCUUCUCCAUGGCAGUCAUCCGGAGGUUGGAAACGCAGGGAUGCAGCUGGGAGCUGUCUUCGGUUGAUUCCUGGUUUAUUUUUUAUUCAUUUUUUAUCUGUAUUGAUUCCUUGUUUCGGUCUUGAUAAAUGUGGUGCCUCGUAAUGUAUAGUUUUCAGCAGGUAGAGUAAUAUGCACCAUACAGAACGUGCAUAGUGGCAUAGUGCCGCUGUAGUUGUGUGUGUGCUUGUGUUAUUUUUUCCCUGUGUUGUAUCGCACUGCUCUGAUGAGCAUUUGAGUUAAUUUUGUUUAUUUUAUAAGGAACCGAUCCUGGGAUGGGCUUAAGGCGAGGGCAAUGCCAAGCAAGAUGAGCUCUAUUUAAUCAUGUCUGCUGAACUCCGAAGGCAAAAAUGCACCUGACACAUUUGCUCCUGUGGUAGAUAUGGUGGCGUGUUCGGUCUCUUCUUGAAUGGCGUCCCAGGCCGUGGAGAUGCGAACACUGCAGGAACCGGAUUCAUAAUGGACUUGCAGCUAGAGCAACCCCAAGCAAACUGAGCUAGAUUGAAAGAUGUCUCCUAAACUCUAAAGGCAAGCACACACCUAACACUUUUAGUCAUGUAGAAGGCAUGUCGUUUGAUUCAUGCCAAGAAGCGUACAAACAGUAAAACCUAUUCGUUUGGGAGAAUGGUUUCGGAAUUCGUCAUGGAAAAUCCAGAUGGGGAGAUGGGCGGCGCUACCAGCUGAUACACGAAAUUGUUUGCCAGUGCCAGGUCAGUUACAUAGCGUCAUGCUUGAAGUUUCAGUAGAACUACAUACAUCUUGUUGCCCCAUUUUGUGAUGAGAAAAUUUAAGAUGGUCCAAGUUAUAUGAGCCAUCAAUUUUGCCCAAUCCAAUGGGUGAAUGUGUCUUACCUCUUGGGAGGUAAGAAUCUAUUAAUUCCUUUACCAGGUCAAUAUAGACUUUGCACUUUACAUAAAUAAGGAAUAAGGAACUAAAUGAUUACAUAUUAAAGUGAGAUAACAAAAGGAAAGAAAUAUCAUUAUACUAAUUACAAUCUGUUUAUUUUGCACUUUUAGCUCUGUUACAUCCUCACAUAUUGAGCUUUAUUUUUCUGCCCAUUUUGAUAGCGGCAAAAGGUUCGUAAAAUACAUACACGCUUGUAAACCGGAUAGCAUAUUUGUCAAAUUACUGAUAUUCUUUAAUCUUUUACUGGAUUUCUCAACCUUUUUUGAUGAUUGUUUCUUGAGCUGAUACAAAUAAUAUAUGAUUAUGUAGUGUGAAAAUAAUUUUCUGUAUAGAUGGUUCUUGGAUAAUGACAAUUGUCAUUCUUGAAAGGUAUAGGUCUUUUUUUGGACUUAAAAAAAAUUACACCUUUCAAGAAAUAAGAGGUCUCUAUGGAAGAUAAUAUAUGAUAAUGUAAAGUGUGAAUAAUUUUCUGUAUACGAUGGUUCUUGGAGAAUGACAAUUAACUAUACCUUUCAAGAAAUAAGGGGUCUCUAUGGAAGAUAAUAUAUAGUGUGAAAAUAAUUUUCUAUAUACCAUGGUUCUUGGAGAAUGGCAAUUAACUAUAGCUUUCAAGAAAUAAGAGGUCUCUUUGAGAGAAUAUAUUUUCUUCUUCGAAAAACAAGUCUGCAUUAUGUGAUCAAUCCGAUAUGGGCGAAAGAAUGAUGGAUCCAUUCAAAGAUUUCCUUUUAGCAAGUGACUUGCCACAGUUGAGAAAUUUUACAUGUCCAGAAUUGCCUUUGACCAACAAAUGGUUGAGAUCAAAUACUCCUCUUACAUCAUAUGAGGAAAGACAUUAGCAAACAAUUGUCAUUCUUAAAAGUGUUUGGAAAAUUGGAUUCUUUCGUCCUUGGAAAUCGCUUGGCAUUUACUAUAUUGUAGACAUUAGCUUUGUCGUUGUCUCUGUGCUUGUGGUGUGCAGGGUAAACUAGGCAAAUAGAAAAAGAUCGUACAGAACAGAGUGCAAGGCGAGGAUGCGGCUCCUCCGCGCAAAGGAUCAUGGUUGGUAUGUCAGCAUAUUCAGUAACAAGCACAGUCACCCUCUGUCUGCAAGUCGUCAGGAGACGAGGCAUUGGAAUUCACAUAGUGAGAUCAAUCUGGUUCGUUUGAAUUUCAUCAAGAAUCUCAGGUAGAAUGGUAUACAAUAUUAUCAAUGCAACACAUGGAGAGAUCAGACCGGUGCAUCGUCCCGUAAGCAGAACUUAAGGUAUCUUUGCACAAGGAUAGCUCAAGAUGCAAUAACAGAUGACAUGGAUAAGACUGUCAACUUUUAGAAGAUAUGAAGUCUGUUGAUCCGAACCUGUCAGUACGCGUUGAAUUUGAUCAGGAAGGCUCCCCCAAGUUUGUCUUGUACGUGAAAGAUAGGAUUAUGUAUGGUGAAGAUAGGAUUAUGUAUGAUGAAUGUACGAUGCACCCUAUCUUCACGUACAUCUAUAUUUUGUAGAAACCAAAUAUAUUUUGCCGAUCCUAAAGAUAACUUAUCCUUGGUGAACAGUCAGCGUAACCAGUGUAAUUGUUUUCACCCAAUUAUUCCAUAAUCGCUAA